rnacentral:piRNA from 1 species
CUCUGACAACUUCUCUGGCUCAGGC